GGUAUUCCUUAUCUAUCUAAUCGUUGAUUGGGUCUGGAACCUGUCCCAUUGAGUUCUCGGCUGAAAGCUCAAUAAGACAGGUUCUGCGUUAGUUGCCGCGCUCUAAUCCCGU
rfam:Pluralibacter gergoviae strain JS81F13 contig_11, whole genome shotgun sequence.